AAACUGGAUUUAUGAAGAAAAUGCCUGAAAAUGUAAGAACAGCGAUUCUUGAAAAUGGAAUUCGAAAUUCUCACUUACUGACUGUUGCACCGACGGGUAAACUCAUUGCCCCCUGCGAUCGUAAGGCCGCAGCGUAAACUUGGCUAUAUGCGGGAAACUCUGGAGUAUCUCUUGCUACCGAGGCCUUACCAGCCUGAAACAAUGGUAAAAAUGCAAGAGUGUAGGCUUGAAUGCCUGCCAGACAAUCCGCAGGGAAGUCGUGGCUGACCCCUCAACGACUAUACGCCGAGCAACCAAAUAGUUUAAAAUUGGUUGAAGAUAGAGUCUGACCCAUAUUGGCGACAUAUGG
rnacentral:ncRNA from 1 species